rnacentral:rRNA from 1 species
CGCCCAACAGCUAGCCCACAACCUCUCUUCAACAAAUAAUUAUUAAUACCCUUUAAUAACCCUAAGACAAAACAAACCAAACCAUUUUUCCCCCUUAGUAUGGGCGACAGAAAAG